rnacentral:snoRNA from 1 species
UGGCGCAGUCAACUACAACGACAAGGAGCAGCUCGCCGAAAAGCUCUUUACCGAGGGAGAGAUGAAGCAAAAGACCGCUCUCAUCUUUCACUGCGA